ACAGCGGUUCUCUAUGGCCUGCAAGCCCUGGGGAGCCAUCAGUCUGUGCUGCCUCCAUGUUGGGAUUACAAGAUGCCCCACCAUAGAUGGCGGGCGGAAGAUACGCGGAUCCUGAAGAGGUCAUCUUGGAAUCCCAUGGGAAGAAGAGUGGCUGGAGCUCACAGAAGUCACAAUGCAUGCUACCCACUCAUAUCCUGUGAACAGCUCUAUAUAAGUAAGUACAACCAUGAGCAUCCAGUUUUACAGUUAUACAGCAGUGUCUGUGCUGGUGAUGGGGAGAGACCGGGGAAGGAUGGCAGAGAGGAGACUAAGCAGGAGUCGUCUCCCUGCAGAGACAGAAAAUGAAGGCCAGAAAUUCCUGGAGGGGACUAACCCAGAAUGACAGGUCUUGGGGACAACUGGGAACGGGAAAGUUCUGCAAGGCUGACUGAAGAAUGGGGUAACACAACAGGACCCCUGAACAUAUAUGCUAAUGCCACAUGACCAUGACAACUAGGCCUGCGGAGCCAAGGGAGAGGCCUAAGCAUUGCCAAGAGCAAAGGGACACAGCAGAACCAAUGGGGUGGGGGGGAUGGGGGGUGGUGCCAUUAGAUUUCUGGUUCAGAAAAGUUGCCUGACUCCCUUCACAAAAAGAUUGAGAGACCAGUUAACUACAGCAUUCCAGACAAGGGCAGCAGAGGGCCAAGGGUAGAGAGCUACUGAGGUGGUAAGCUGACAGGGUUUAUUUUGGUUACUGCAUGUGCACAAUAAGGAAGCCUGUAUUCUCAAGCCACUGGAGGUGGGAAGUUCAGUGCUGUCCACUUGAGGGCGCAACAGGGAGACCAAGUCUGAAAGGUGAACUGCUGGCACAGGCCCUUGGCACUUGUGUAGAGCAUUUAAGCAGCUAGACCCAUAAGACGGGGUGGAGAGAAGCCUCAGAUUAUCUGCAUAAAACUGGAAGGCAUUUGACUAUGCCUCGAGUCUUACAGACAGGUUUUACAGGUCAGAAAUGCAAGUUAGACCACUUGUAAGUGUCUAAACGUUCUUAUGAAACUGAGAGCUCAGGGCCUUUUUUUUUUUUUUUUUUUUUUUUUUGGUUCUUUUUUUCGGAGCUGGGGACCGAACCCAGGGCCUUGUGCUUCCUAGGCAAGCGCUCUACCACUGAGCUAAAUCCCCAACCCCAGGGCCUUUUGUUUUAACAUUACGUCUCAUGCCACACUGUGAGAGUAAGGCCAGAGUCUGUUCUCUUCUUCAGCUCUGUGGGUUCUGGGGAUCAAACGUGGAUCAUAGCGCUUGGUGGUACAAGUCUUUCUUUAAAGCUGAUCCGGCAGAAUCCCCUCCCCCCAAUAAGCACAGGACGUUUAGGAGUAUACAGUCUCACAAUGGAUGAAAAGCCAGACUGGAGCACUUAGGGAUUCCGGGACUUAAGAAGACUACAACCUGUGCCCAGUAUACCCAAGAAAGAACUACAGUCAUCCUCAAAUGUCAUAACAAGGGGCUCCAUGGUAGAGGUUGCUGGAAACGGUUCUGACUGGUGAGCCAGCAGCUACGUCCACAUAACCAACUCAAGGGUAGCUGGGAAAGGGAGAGAUAUAACCAAGUACUGGAGUCCUGCCCCCACUUCUGAAAGUGUCCCUAAUUAAGCUCUAAAAACUUUGUUCCCCUUACGAAGCCUUCCUGAAUUCCUGAAUCACUGCCUUUUGGCUGAGUUCUGUAAGAGUGUUUCUCAUACUCAUCUCAGGAUGAGUCACCAUGGGAUUGUGAGUGCGAGUACACCCCAUGUCCUCUACUAACAUACAGCCUCCAGAAGGUGACGGCAGUGUCCCCUCGGCCUCUUCUUUUGCAUUUUCCACUGUGCCUUGCUUACAUUCAGCUCUCGCUGGGUGAGUAAAGGACCUGCCCUGAGCCAUGACACAUCUGACCCUAGUGGGACAGCUGGUUAUGUUGUAUGACCUUGGACAAAUCGAUUAGUCUCCCUGAGGCUCAUUUUCAUCCCCUGUAAAUGAGGGGGGUUGGACUUUUCUCCACCAGUGGGGAAGGAGAUGUGACAACUGAAAAAACGAAUAUUCAAUCGUAAAUGUUGCUGUGCAAAUCAAAGGCAGAGUAGAUGAAAAGCCAGAGGGCACUGAACAACCAGAGUCAGGAAUCUGAGAGCUAAGGAGGAACUGGCCAAGGUGGUUUAGAAUUCUGGGCUCAGAAGUCUACAGCUAUUGGAUAUACUGCGUGAGAGACCGCACAAGGUUCCACAAUAUGGUUUAAACACCUUCUGGGAUGUCAUAUCCUGCCACAAACACAAAAGAAUAAAUGAAGCAGUGAGUAAAAUAAAACGAUCUCUUUACUGGGAGUUCUGUGGGUCACUGAGAAUCAUCUGGAAAGCUACACUGGGCAGCCCCCUGCUCGUUUGGAGCACUGUAUGCUGGUAAGUUUGACCCUUGACAAGCUGAUGGCUUACACAAGAAGAAACAAGGACACUACCCCUAAAAUCUGUUUGAUUCAGGCCCUUUUCUGGGGGUAAAUGGCCUACAUACUCCAUGAGGAGGCUUUUAGGUAACAGCAGCGGUAGAUAACGGCAUUCACCAAUACCCAAUAUUCCUGUCACUUUCUCUCGAUGCGUCAAACCAUUUAAACCGGAAAUUCUCAGGGAAAACUUGUCAGGCCCAUUAUAACUUACAGAGCAGGGAGGUUCAAAUAAUACCUCCCUAACAGAACACAGACAUCAUUCCUCAUUAAACCCUACAUCACCAUCAGAGCUCAGAUUAUGGAAGGUGGUGUCUUCCCAACUAUUUCUCAUCCCAAACUGAAAUGCCACGGUGCUUGUCCACUGUGAAUCAAGUGGCAUUUUGCCGACCAGCAGAAGUUAAAUCGUGGCUACUAGACUCUUGCUAGAGCACCAAUGGGAAGGCUGAGCUGUGGACUAGAGUUGCUAAUACUUUACUCUGGUAGUCACCUCUGGGCGGAGUCCUGCUAGUCAGAAGUAGGGCAGCCACAUUUCCUAGUGCACUAGUAACUAAAUGCUGUGGAACAGGAGGGAUGGAGCAAGCUGCCUAUUGAGUAAAAUCACCAUCACGACUGCAGUCUUGGCUACCCUACAGCCGUAACACAAGGGCAGAGCGCUGAGGACUCCAGGAACAGGGAUGCACUUACUGUUUUCUCUGAUAAAAAACAAUUUUACAGCAACAGGCAAGCCAAAGCAUUAAAUACAGCAGGAACCACAACAAAAAUAAGCCAAACAAAACUGCCCAGUGCCACAUCGUACAUCAGAGAAAACGGCCUCCUAACUAAAAUCACAGUUACCUGGAGAGGCGACUCAACACUAAGACCACUCGCUGCUCUUCGGGGGGCCCCGGUUCCGUUCCCAGCACCUACAUGGCAGGUGAGUCACAGCUCUCCAGGACACCAGGGGAUGUGACUGCUGCUGCUGGCCAACUCCACCACUGUGCCCGAGGCACACAUGCACUGGUGGCACAGGUAAGCGGUUCUAGCAAACGCCCAUCCAUGUAAAACUAAAUCUAAAGAAUUUGUAAGGAAAUAAAAUUCCAUUUAUCUGCCUAUUUCAUGUAGUGACCGAAAGCUAAGAUAAAUUCAAUUUAAUCUUGUGUCAUGAGAGUAAUUAGAGCCUUAUUUGCUUUUUUGGCACUGUCUCCCUUCAGAGGUCAGGCCUCUCCCCUAACAGACAAUGGAGCUGCCCCUGUUAGUUCCCAUGUGCUCUCUACUCUUGAGACCAGAAGACUGCAUCGCACUGGACUUAAGCUAUUUGAGUCAAAGCAAAAGAAAAUAAAUAAAAAGGGAGGAAGGAAACCCACUUAAUAGUAUAGUUAAAGCAAAGUUUAGUAUUUUUCUUCCUUUAAAAAAAUGGAGGAUUUUUAAAUUGAAAAGAAAUGCUUAGACUUUAGUAGAUUGUUUAAAAUUCUAAAAACAAUGUGGCAGUUUGGUCCUCACCUCCAUUUUAGGAUGUUGGGGGGUUUUUGUUUUGUUUUUGUUUUAAGAAUAGACAAGGAGGAAUUCAAAGCAAGAAGCCUAGAUAGAGUGAGAGAAAAGAGGGAGAGAACGUGAGAAAAAGAACCGUUAGUAAAUGCGACAUUCUUUCCAGAGCAGAAGAAUGAACGAUAACUCGGUUUAGAAGAAUGACAAACAUUUCUGGAAAGCAUGCCAAGGCAAGGAAAGGACAGCAGUAGGAGAACAUUAAAUUACUCACAUGAGCCCUUCCAGCAGCUCUCUCCUUUACCUACUCCACCUCCACCACCGUGUGCUGGCCCUACGGUGGCAGAGCCGAGGCGAACCACAUGGAAAGUUUUUGUUCCAGAUAAUGGUGCAGGACGGGACUUGGCGGCUACAAGUUGUAAUCAGCAAGCCUCAAGAGCUAUAGUAACAGAGAUAAGGCCCAAAUAUGCAUUACAAGGCCCUGCCUCUCGGGAGGUAGGACAGCCAAAGCCAAGGUUACCAUGUUGCUAUGAUUUUGGAAAGAACUUUUCAAAUAGGGAGUUGUUUUUUUUUUUUACCCCUCUCUAGAUGGAUAAAAGAAUUGUCUAAAUAUAAAGAUUCUUCCAGUUCA